UACGGGGGGAGCAAGCGUUGUUCGGAUUUACUGGGCGUAAAGGGCGCGUAGGCGGCCACCGCAAGUCAGUUGUGAAAUCUCUGGGCUUAACCCAGAAAGGUCAACUGAUACUGCGGGGCUAGAGUGCAGAAGGGGCAACUGGAAUUCUCGGUGUAGCGGUGAAAUGCGUAGAGUAUCGAGAGGAACACCUGCGGCGAAGGCGGGUGCUGGGCUGACACUGACGCUGGAAGCGCGAAAGCUAGGGAGCGAACGGG
rnacentral:rRNA from 1 species